rnacentral:misc_RNA from 1 species
UCCGGUUUGGCACCGGCAGUCCCCCGAGAGUCCUCAGCAGUUUGCACCCUGUUAGCAACACGGGGCGGGGGUUGCGCUCGUUGCGGGACUUAACCCAACAUCUCACGACACGUGCUGACGACAGCCAUGCAGCACCUGUGCACGAGCUCCGAAGAGGGGUCACUGUUUCCACACCGGUCACCAACAUGUCAAGCCCAGGUAAGGUUCUUCGCGUUGCGUCGAAUUAAACCACAUGCUCCGCUGCUUGUGCGGGUCCCCGUCAAUUCCUUUGAGUUUUAGCCUUGCGGCCGUACUCCCCAGGCGGGGCACUUAAUGCGUUAGCGCCGGCACGGGAGGAGUCGACACCUCCCACACCUAGUGCCCAUCGUUUACGGCGUGGACUAC